ACGCACGCUGGCGGCAUGCCUAACACCUGUAAGUCGCACGAGACCUUCGGGUCUAGUGGCGCACGGGUGCGUAACGCGUGGGAACCUGCCCUUAGGUUCGGAAUAACUCCCCGAAAGGGGUGCUAAUACCGGAUAAUGUCUUCGGACCAAAGAUUUAUCGCCUUUGGAUGGGCCCGCGUUGGAUUAGCUAGUUGGUAGGGUAAAAGCCUACCAAGGCGACGAUCCAUAGCUGGUCUGAGAGGAUGAUCAGCCACACUGGGACUGAGACACGGCCCAGACUCCUACGGGAGGCAGCAGUGGGGAAUAUUGGACAAUGGGCGAAAGCCUGAUCCAGCAAUGCCGCGUGAGUGAUGAAGGCCUUAGGGUUGUAAAGCUCUUUUACCCGGGAUGAUAAUGACAGUACCGGGAGAAUAAGCGCCGGCUAACUCCGUG
rnacentral:rRNA from 1 species